rnacentral:rRNA from 1 species
GACGAACGCUGGCGGCGUGCUUAACACAUGCAAGUCGAACGGAAAGGCCCUGCUUUUGUGGGGUGCUCGAGUGGCGAACGGGUGAGUAACACGUGAGUAACCUGCCCUUGACUUUGGGAUAACUUCAGGAAACUGGGGCUAAUACCGGAUAGGAGCUCCUGCUGCAUGGGGGGGGUUGGAAAGUUUCGGCGGUUGGGGAUGGACUCGCGGCUUAUCAGCUUGUUGGUGGGGUAGUGGCUUACCAAGGCUUUGACGGGUAGCCGGCCUGAGAGGGUGACCGGCCACAUUGGGACUGAGAUACGGCCCAGACUCCUACGGGAGGCAGCAGUGGGGAAUAUUGCACAAUGGGCGGAAGCCUGAUGCAGCAACGCCGCGUGCGGGAUGACGGCCUUCGGGUUGUAAACCGCUUUCGCCUGUGACGAAGCGUGAGUGACGGUAAUGGGUGAAGAAGCACCGGCUAACUACGUG